CAAGUGAGCUAUUCUGAUCACAUUUUGUCUGUCGUCCGUCUGUCUGUCUGUCCGUCCGUCUGUCCGUCUGUGUUCACGAGAGAAUAUUUAUUGGGUUCAAUUCAUGUCAUUGGAACACUUAUUGGGUACUUUUGACUUAUUGGGUAUACCCAAUAAUCCAAUUGCUUUCAUUGUGUUCCAGAGACAUUUACUGGGUAUUGGAUAACACAAACCCAAUAAAUGUUUGUCUGAGAUUUCUCUAUAAAAUUUAGUCCAUCUAAUGGACUUUACUGUUUGUUGAAAUCAAAUUCUUUCGGGAUGCCUUUGGUUUUAUCAUCAACAAUGAAGAAUUCAGAAGAGUUCCAAACAACUAUGACAUGUGAUAAGAUUAUCCAAUCAGAAAGUAGCAAUGGCUACUGAAACAGAUGCUAGAUGAACAUAUCACCUGGAACUAGAGAAAACUCAUUCAAGGCCAUAUUGCUAUCUGGAUAAGAAUAAUCAUGUUAUGAUGACCCAUUUGAUUUAGCAGAAUCAUGUGAUGAUGACCCUUUCGAUUUAGCACCUGGAAGUAGAAGUCAAUUAAGGCUGAAUCACAUGAUGAUGAUGAUGAUGAUCAGAGCUAUACUGACAUCUGGACAAAGAGCAAAAGUGGAGCCCUGGAUUCACAGUUUAAAGAUACCUUGUAAAUUGAAGUGGAUCGAACUUCAUCAAAGAUUAAAACACAACAAUGAGACACACUAGAUGUACCAAGUUUUUCAGUACAGACUUCACACCAUGAAAUUUUAACAGAAAAGAGGCAAUUUGAUGAGCUUUCAUUCAAGAGGUCCCUCGUUGUUGAACGAAAAAUAGGGCUGGAGCUAUGAACAGGAACGUUUACAUUACCGCCUAUGGAAAAUGCAUCAGUGGACUAUACUCAGGCAUUUCAUGUGGAUACGAAGGUAGCGAGCAUAAUGCAGGAAAAAUACACAGCUAGUGUUAGAAAGCAUUUAAUGGGGUUUACCAUCAGAAAAAUCUGGUAAUUGAAGUGGUGAAAUGACGGGCGGCUGCCAAAAGGGUACCCCCUUUGUCUGGACAACUCAUACAGUUUUCAAGAUAUAAAGGUUUUUUGUUUUGCAGAUCAAUUGUAUAUAUAAUCGAAAUAUGCAUUAUUGCUAGGAUUUUAACUUUUGUAAAUUUUUGCAAAAAAUACUCACUUUUUUAACUAGUCAAUUGCUUAUAGGGUACAUCUUUUGUGCAAAUAACUCCUCCCAACAGUUUUGAAGAUAGGGAUAUCUUAAUUUUGCAGAUUACCGGAAAUUGUACAAUUGAUAUCUCAACCCCCAUAAACUUGAAAUGAUGACCAAAUAUCUUAAAAACAAAUAGGAUUUCCACCCCUAAACAAUAAAUAUUCUUGUUCAUUGUGUAGGUCAUGACCUUGGAGGUGGUUAAGAAGAUAAACAUUUACAAUUUUCUUCAAUUCAGAAUGUUGAUACAGGAAAAACAUUCGAUAUUUUUAUAUUAUAUAUUAUAAGAGUAAAAUGGUCAAACAAGAGAUAAAGGAAGUAAGGGAAUAUUUUUCAGACUGUUGCACAUCAAAUACACUCCCAUGAAUGAAAAUGUGCCCAAAACUUACAGAAUGUAACUAAAAUGGCGAAAAAUAUUGUGGAAAAGGAUAUGGGAGACCAUAAAGAAAAAAAUAUGGAAUGACCUUAAAAGAGUAAAUUUGCACUUUUGAUUGAGUUAUGUCUUAGUGUACAUAUAUUUGAU